rnacentral:misc_RNA from 1 species
AUAUUUUUCUUCCUUUUUUGUAUUUCACUUGUACCUAUAAAUGUAUACAACAUCUAAUAGAAAAGUAAGCUUAUGAACCACAUUUUUCAGUAUUUUUGGUUACCAAGCUUAAUUAUACGAGUUAUGACCCAUCUAAUGCAGCAAAGAAAAUAAAAGAAAAUAAAUCAUUUGCUUAGAAGACUAAUUAAAAAGCUUUAUAUUUUGUGAAGAGAAGAGACUGGAGAAGGCGACGAUUAAGGGGUUCGCUCACCGGAAAGACGAACAUAAAGCCGAAAUCCGGUACGAACCAGACUUCGAGGUUCCAGCUAGUUUCGGACAAGUGGGAGCUAUUUACGUUGAAAUGAGCACCGCAAGGAGAUGUUCAUCAAGGAUAUAACCAUUGAUGGCUUCCCUACUGGCCCAGUUAAUCUCGAUUGUAAUUCAUGGGUUCACCCCAAGACUCAGAACCAGCGGAAAAGGGUCUUCUUCACUA